rnacentral:rRNA from 1 species
CUACAGAGGGUGCGAGCGUUAAUCGGAAUUACUGGGCGUAAAGCGCGCGUAGGCGGCUUAUUAAGUCAGAUGUGAAAUCCCCGGGCUCAACCUGGGAACUGCAUCUGAUACUGGUAAGCUAGAGUUUGGGAGAGGGAAGUAGAAUUUCAGGUGUAGCGGUGAAAUGCAUAGAGAUCUGAAGGAAUACCAGUGGCGAAGGCGACUUCCUGGCCUAAAACUGACGCUGAGGUGCGAAAGCGUGGGUAGCAAACGGGAUUAGAAACCCCAGUAGUCC